rnacentral:misc_RNA from 1 species
UGUGGGAGCGGGCUUGCUCGCGAAUGCGUUGGAUCAGUUACUGCUGUAUUUGCUGAUCCACCGCAUUCGCGAGCAAGCCCGCUCCCACA